CCUACGGGUGGCUGCAGUGAGGAAUAUUGGUCAAUGGGCGCGAGCCUGAACCAGCCAAGUAGCGUGAAGGAUGACUGCCCUACGGGUUGUAAACUUCUUUUAUAAAGGAAUAAAGUGAGGCACGUGUGCCUUUUUGUAUGUACUUUAUGAAUAAGGAUCGGCUAAUUCCGUGCCAGCAGCCGAGGUAAUACGGAGGAUCCGAGCGUUAUCCGGAUUUAUUGGGUUUAAAGGGAGCGUAGAUGGGUUGUUAAGUCAGUUGUGAAAGUUUGCGGCUUAACCGUAAAAUUGCAAUUGAUACUGGCAGCCUUGAGUACAGGUGAGGUAGGUGGAAUUCGUGGUGUAGCGGUGAAAUGCUUAGAUAUCACGAAGAACACCGAUUGCGAAGGCAGCUUACUAAACUGCCACUGACAUUGAUGCUCAAAAGUGUGGGUAUCAAACAGGAUUAGAUACCCCGGUAGUC
rnacentral:rRNA from 1 species